GGAGGAUCCAAGCGUUAUCCGGAAUCAUUGGGUUUAAAGGGUCCGUAGGCGGUUUUGUAAGUCAGUGGUGAAAGCCCAUCGCUCAACGGUGGAACGGCCAUUGAUACUGCAAGACUUGAAUUACUAGGAAGUAACUAGAAUAUGUAGUGUAGCGGUGAAAUGCUUAGAGAUUGCAUGGAAUACCAAUUGCGAAGGCAGGUUACUACUAGUGGAUUGACGCUGAUAGACGAAAGCGUGGGUAGCGAACAGGAUUAGAUACCCUGGUAGUCCACGCCGUAAACGAUGGAUACUAGCUGUUGGGAGCAAUCUCAGUGGCUAAGCGAAAGUGAUAAGUAUCCCACCUGGGGAGUACGGGCGCAAGCCUG
rnacentral:rRNA from 1 species